AAAAAUUUAGUUAAAUAAAUAACAUUAGCUUGUCAAGCUAAAAUUAAUUGAUUGAUUAAUUUUUA
rnacentral:tRNA from 1 species